GGGCCUCUAGCUCAUGCUGGUCAGAGCAGUGGACUCAUAAUCCAUUGGUGCCGUGUUCGACUCACGGGGGGCCCACCA
rnacentral:tRNA from 1 species